rnacentral:rRNA from 1 species
UUGGANAUGGGCGCAAGCCUGNAUCCAGCCAUACCGCGUGGGUGAAGAAGGCCUUCGGGUUGUAAAGCCCUUUUGUUGGGAAAGAAAUCCUGUCGAUUAAUACUCGGUGGGGAUGACGGUACCCAAAGAAUAAGCACCGGCUAACUUCGUGCCAGCAGCCGCGGUAAUACGAAGGGUGCAAGCGUUACUCGGAAUUACUGGGCGUAAAGCGUGCGUAGGUGGUGGUUUAAGUCUGCUGUGAAAGCCCUGGGCUC